rnacentral:rRNA from 1 species
AACGCGAAGAACCUUACCCAGGCUUGACAUGCAGUGGAAUGUAUCAGAGAUGAUACAGCCCUUCGGGGCCGCUGCACAGGUGCUGCAUGGCUGUCGUCAGCUCGUGCCGUGAGGUGUUUGGUUAAGUCCAGCAACGAGCGCAACCCUUAUCAUUAGUUGCCAACACGUAAAGGUGGGAACUCUAAUGAGACUGCCUGGGUUAACCAGGAGGAAGGUGAGGAUGACGUCAAGUCCGCAUGGCCCUUAUGUCUGGGGCAACACACGUGCUACAAUGGUCGGUACAGAAGGCAGCGAAACCGCGAGGUGAAGCAAAUCCCGAAAGCCGGCCUCAGUUCAGAUUGUAGUCUGCAACUCGACUACAUGAAGUUGGAAUUGCUAGUAAUGGCAGGUCAGCACACUGCCGUGAAUACGUUCCCGGGCCUUGUACACACCGCUCGCGA